rnacentral:rRNA from 1 species
AUGGGGAGAUUCUGUCUCAGGUAUGAAAGGUAUUGGAUAAUACUAGUGGUAUGUUUGCUUUAUCACAUAAGGCAGCAAAUGGUUUGCUGUUGUACUCUUAUGAGAAGUUUAAUGCUUUUGUUAUCCAUGCUGACUAGUGCUCGGUUUACCAAUGUUCCUAUCUGGAUUUGGCUUGUAACUGGUUCCUUGGGAGCUUCAGUGGAUUGCGUUAUUUUGUCCGAGUUAUAUUUGGGAUCCAUGUUUCUGCGUUGGUCUGAUGGUAAAAGUCCUGUCAUGAUAGUGGCCUUUGGUGCUGUUCUUGUAUUGCAUCGCUGUGGUUAUUGGAAUUGCGGUCUUGAUGUCAAGGAUGUUGAAGAACUACAGCUCUUUAUUUAG